AAAUCGACAAUAGUUUUGGGCUUGUCUACAUAAGCGAUUAAUUAAAAUAAAUGAAAAAUAAAAUUCAAAAAAAUCGACCAAUAGAAUUAUAACAAUUUUUCUGAGAAACUCUAUAUUAAUGUCAUGUUAGCAGAAAUCACUAAAGUGACUUCUCUUUUAAUGUAUUGGAGGAUUUAUAGCUUUUUUGUGAACAGCAUGUUUUAGUUUUUUAUGCUAUUUGAAGCACAACUCGUUACGUUUAUAAUAUUUAUUUUUGGAACAUUUCUCAGAACUAGUUUUAUGGAGAUAUUAUAAAAUCUUCUUUCUUUUUUUCAUUUGUCUUCUUAUCACUCAUAUAUUUUAGUUUUAGACGUUUAUGCUUUAUAAUUUUUUUAAACAAAUAUAUUAUGACAAUUGUUGGAAUAAAAAGAAGUUUGAUUUGUUUAAGAAUCUAGAAAUUCAUUUUUGUCUGUCCUCAUCCACCGUUCAUUUCUAAUUACUACUGAUUUUUUUAUCUCUUAUUUGCUUCUCCUCCUCCUCCGCAGCACCGCCGUGCUCUUCCCCAAGCUCUGCCGGCUGUAAGGUUAUGUUCUUCCUCAACUUCUUUGCAAGUUUUUAAUUUGCCUUUCUCCCGUGUUCAUGUUGACUGGCGAUGUCACUCUUAACUAAAUAAAGCGUAAAGCUUCCUAGUUAUUCUAGUUCUGCUUGAACCAUUUCUUAGUGACAUAAGAUAAAAGCAAGCAUGCCUUUAAUUUGUUAAAAGAAACUAAUACAUAUAUGAAACAUCAUUUGUUUGUCUGUAGCAAGCCAAUGAUGUGAAUCGGGAAAAUCUUGAAAGAAUGGUUGAGUCAGGCGAUUCUGCAUUCAGCGGCUUAUAUCUUGCAACCCUCAUCAGGCAGAAGUAUGGAUGAUCUCAUGAUGUUCAGCUCAUUUAGAAGGCUUUGAGCAUUUUCAUAGACAUGGAUUCAUAUAACUAAUAAAUCCAAAUCUGGUCCAAGCCAAAAUAUUUAUGGUACCUAAAAGUUCAAAUCACAAUUUAUAUACUUAAAUAUAUUAAAUUUAAAAAAAUUAAGAAAAUAUCCAAAAUGUUCAUAAAUACAAGAAAUUAUCCAAAAUACUUGAAAAUAAUUUAAAAUAAAUAGCCGAAAUAUUAAAAACACUGAAAUACAUAUUGAUUUUCUAUCCAAAUAUAUAAACCAAACCAAUUUUCAUGUUAAUUUUACAUAUUUAGAAUACAUUAUUCAAAUUUAUAUGUUGUACGUUGUUUUUAUUUUUGAAUUUUACGAAUUUUAAAUAUUUAAUUUAUUUACAUAUAUUAGUAAUAUUAAAACAGAAACACAAAAUUGUACCCAACUUGCUUCUAGGUGAAAUAUAUUUUUUAAAAACUAUACUAUAUAAUCAACAUGUCAAAUCCAUUAUUCUUUAGUCUAACACAUUUAUAUCUAUAAAAAAAAACAUCUUACAAUCUCGUCUUAUUAUUUAUGGUAAGUGAUUAAAUGAAAUUAUUAUUAUUUAUGGUAAAGAAUUAAAUAAAUUUAUUAAUAAUGUUAGCAUUUUUAAAACUAAUUUUUGUUAUGGUAAGACUUUAAUACACCCUAAUUUAUGCCGGAUGUAGUUAUAUAUCAAAUAUCAAUACAUCAAUAAAUCUUUUUACGUCACUUUAUAGUAUUUAUAUUGGUUGAUUAGGUGUUUAGUCGACCUGGUAGUUUAUACUAUAAUUUUAAAAUAAUAUUAAUGACUUCAUAUGUUAAUAAAACGUUUAUAUGUUAUUUAAAGAUUUCAUAUUGGUGUACAGUGAUAUAUGUUUCAUUGUACUACAUUAGUUUUAAUAAUGUUGAUGCUUUUUCUUCACACAUGAUGAUAAAUAUUAUUUUAUAGAUUUUAUAUAUAUCAAUUUUUUUGGGGUUUUACUGGGUCAACCAGUGUGGGAUCAAAGAUUAAUGUCAGUUUUUUCACCAAGAUUUAUUAAGUUUUUAAUUACAGAUUUUUAUUUAAUUUAAACUGGAUAAUAUACAGUUUAUCAGAUUACCGAUUCAACCACGGAUCCAGAUUAUAUAUGAAAACAAUGAAUAAAAAUAAAGACACAUAUAUAAUUAUUUGUAUAACAUAAAUAAGUAGAUCAAAAUUCAAAAAAAUUUAAAUACCAACUAACAUUUUUAUUUAAAUAUGAAAUAAAAUCUAUAAAUAUCCAACUGAGACUUAAAUCUCUAGCCGUGAAAUCUCAAAAUCUAAAUGGAUCUAAGUCUUUAUAUUACCAAAAAUGAAUACAUCUUUCAUCGUUACAUUUUUGAUGAGACAGAUUAAAUGAAGUGUUAUCUUUAGUAAAUAUGGAAGAAAACUUCUAUUAAUUUAAAAGCUUAAAUUUAAUAUAAUUGAAGUUUUAUUUAUGAUACCACUUCAUACAAGGGAAGACAGUUUAUAAAUAAACAAAAAUUAAAAUCCCUAAACUUAGAAGCAGUUGACAAAAAAAAAAAAAAAUCCCUAAACUUAGAGAAAGAACUUGGAAUCUCACAAGUUUGAGAAGAAAGAGCUCCGACGAUGAUGUGCGGUUACAUCGUCUCUCGAUUGAUCAAGAAAGGAGUAUAUAUACCUCAGUUACUAGAAGUCAAAAAAGUCAAAAAGUCAAAAAAAAAAAGUCUUCUCCUCUCGUUGCUGGCAGUUAGUUUUUCUUCUUCCCCACUAUAAAAUAACUAAUUCAAACAAAACAACAUCGCGCUCUCAAGCUCUCAAGUUUCUCUCUCUCUCUCUCAGCUCAAUGGCGGGAGCGAACCAAGAAGUUCCAAGCAAGAGACUACCUGGUUACUGCAAUCUCCAGGAGAAACAUGGAGAUGAUGCUUCUCUGCGUUUUCACGUGUGUGGAACUUGAUGAGAUCAAUCCUUGAAGAUACGAGGAGCUGUUUGUUGCUUACAUGUUAGGUUAUGUACGUAUCCAUUGUUCAAUCACGAUCUGUGUGGAAUUUGAGAGAGCAAUCAAUCGUAUAUUAGGAGAUGCGCACUGCAUGUUCUCAUGUUUUUGUGGUUAUGAUUGGAGUGAAAACCCUCGGGAAACACUUAUCAAAAUCAAGGCUUAAUCUCUUACUGCUCUUUGCUGCUGGAAAAGCCAUUGAUAAUGGCUUCCUAGUGAGAAACACUUACGAAUGAGCUUGAGAUUUGGCUAUCUUAAUGAUGCCAUAGGCCUUUGAUCCGGGGGAACAUUUCAUAUCAUUUCCACACAAGUCCUGAGAGUAUCUUAUGUCUCUGCAACUCCUGUUUUUAUGUUUCAUUGCUUGAUAUAUAUUGUACUCGUGUCCAUCAGUUCAAACCAUGCAUGAGUUUAGUCAAUAUAUGGUGUUCAUUGACCUGUUGCAUGAAUCACUUGCAUUCGUUUAGAUUUUGUGCUUUGUAUAUGACGCACGGCAUGUUGUCAUGUUUUUGUGGUUAUGUUCUCAUGUUCCCUCGGGAAACACUUAUCAAAAUCAAGGCUCGAAUCUCUUACUACUCUGUUGCUGCUGGAAAAAGCCGUUAUCAAUGAGCUUAUCUUGUUUGUUUUAAUGAUUUAGAUAUUAGGUUCUUAACGUUUCCAUAGUUCAGUCAUGAUGUGUAAAUCAGUUGUGGAAGAUACAAGGAACAGUUUGAUAAAUGAGCUUAUCUUGUUUGUCUCAGUUGCGUAGAUGUUAGGUUCUGUACGUUUCCAUUUCUCAGUGUGUAGAGCACUUGUGUAAGAUACAAGGAACAGUUUGGUAAAGUAGCUUGUUGAAGGUAUCUUGUUUCAUUCCAUUGUUCAGUCAAUAACUAAACCUGAAUGUGGUUUGUAUCUGGCUUCUUUUGUCACUAUAUGGCGUUCACUGAUGUGUUGCCUGAAUCACUUACAAAUGAGCUUGAGCUUUGGCUAUCUCAGUGAUGCCAUAGGCCUUUGAUCCGGCUGAACAUUUUGUAUCAUUUUCACACAAGUACUGAGAGUAUAUUAUGUUUCUGCAACUCCUGUUUUCUUGUUUCAUUAUUAUACACUGCUUCUCAUAUAUUGUCUAUCAGUUCAAACCAUGAGUUUAAUUGUAUAUGGCGUUCAUUGAUUUGUUGUCUGAAUCACUUAGUUUAGAUUUUGUGUGUGUUUUCUUUUCUGUUUUAGUAACAUCUAGCUGCAUAUAUGUUUUUAGUUUGACUUAUGUAUAUAUAAUUGGUUCGUUAUCUCUUGAUAUCUAUUCUUAUGUCGGUGGUUUUUAGAGGAGGUUGGUGCUUUGAUUGUUAAAUCAAAGACUAGCUGGCUUUCUGCUGAGGAGAUUUGCAAAAUACUGAAACAAGCUGAGAGUAAAAACUUAACCGAGUCUGUGGAAAAGCCUCCCAUAGAUUCCAUUGGACUGUUCAUUUUCAGAGAGAAGAAGUUCUACGAUCAUUGGAGGUGGAAUGACGUGGGUGGAAGUAAGAGGAAGAGAGGUGGAAACAACAGGCUGGGAAAGAAGAAGAAGAAGCUUUCGGGAAAUGAUGGAUGUAGCGUAAAUGUGAUGGAGUCCACUGGAUUGCUAGAAGACAAUUAUGUGAGAAGGGUGCAUAGGGAUUCCAAAAACUUUGGUGAUGAGUUGGCUGUGGUGCACUACCGCAGGCUCACCUGAAUCAGUUUUGGCUUCUAUGUUCUACAAAACUUGCACAUUUGUCUAUAUUCGAAAACUUGAAAGACUUUUAUGUCUUACCAAACUUUCUUAUCUUGUCUAUAUUCAGAGAAACUUGUAUAUCUUUUCUACGAUCAAAUGAUAAUAGCUGGGAUGAUUGGAUAACUGUAAUCCUCUAUUUGUCUCACUGUUUUCUUUUUCCUUUCCUGGGGUUUAUGAUUUGAUCUCAGAGUAAUCGGAUUCUUAAGAUGGGAAGAGAGAAAAAGGGUUUUACUUUGUGGAUUUGGUGAUAAGCUCUAAAUGAAUGGGGAAGUUGAUUGAUAAAUAUUUGAGAGAGAUAUCUCCAGGCUAGAAUCUUAAAGUGUCAAAGGUUCUUCAAGUUGCAGAGAGUUAAACCAGAUUCAGCUAUAGAUAUUGGUUUGACAAGAGAGUUUAUUUCUCGUAUUCUAACAUUUUAUAACUAUAGUAUAUUUUUUUGGGAAAAUUGCCAAAAGAGAAUAAAAAAACCAGGUUGUUGUCCCUU